GAUGAACGCUGGCGGCGUGCCUAAUACAUGCAAGUCGAGCGAACAGACGAGGAGCUUGCUCCUCUGACGUUAGCGGCGGACGGGUGAGUAACACGUGGAUAACCUACCUAUAAGACUGGGAUAACUUCGGGAAACCGGAGCUAAUACCGGAUAAUAUAUUGAACCGCAUGGUUCAAUAGUGAAAGACGGUUUUGCUGUCACUUAUAGAUGGAUCCGCGCCGCAUUAGCUAGUUGGUAAGGUAACGGCUUACCAAGGCGACGAUGCGUAGCCGACCUGAGAGGGGGGUUGGGCACCACGGAACUGAGAACAGGUUCCAAACCCUAAGGGGGGGAGGAGGAGGGAAAUCUUCCGAAUGGGGGAAAGCCCUACGGAGGCAACGCGGGGGGGGUAAUAAGGGUCUUCGAAUGGAAAACCUCUGUUAUUAGGAAGAAACAAAUGGGAAGGUAACUAGGCCGGUUUGGAGGGAACCAAAUCAAAAGGCAAGGGCAACCAACGU
rnacentral:rRNA from 1 species